AAGUCUGAAGUUAAAGGCUGUGGCUUAACCAUAGUACGCUUUGGAAACUGUUUAACUUGAGUGCAAGAGGGGAGAGUGGAAUUCCAUGUGUAGCGGUGAAAUGCGUAGAUAUAUGGAGGAACACCGGUGGCGAAAGCGGCUCUCUGGCUUGUAACUGACGCUGAGGCUCGAAAGCGUGGGGAGCAAACAGGAUUAGAUACCCUGGUAGUCCACGCCGUAAACGAUGAGUGCUAGGUGUUAGACCCUUUCCGGGGUUUAGUGCCGUAGCUAACGCAUUAAGCACUCCGCCUGGGGAGUACGACCGCAAGGUUGAAACUCAAAGGAAUUGACGGGGGCCCGCACAAGCGGKGGAGCAUGUGGUUUAAUUCGAAGCAACGCGAAGAACCUUACCAGGUCUUGACAUCCCUCUGACCGCUCUAGAGAUAGAGUUUUCCUUCGGGACAGAGGUGACAGGUGGUGCAUGGUUGUCGUCAGCUCGUGUCGUGAGAAG
rnacentral:rRNA from 1 species